rnacentral:rRNA from 1 species
UACAGAGGUCCCAAGCGUUGUUCGGAUUCAUUGGGCGUAAAGGGUGUGUAGGUGGCGCCGUAAGUCGGGUGUGAAAUCUCGGGCUUAACUCCGAAACUGCAUUCGAUACUGCGGUGCUUGAGGACUGGAGAGGAGACUGGAAUUCAUGGUGUAGCAGUGAAAUGCGUAGAGAUCAUGAGGAAGACCAGUGGCGAAGGCGGGUCUCUGGGCAGAAACUGACGCUGAGGAGCGAAAGCGUGGGGAGCGAACAGG